GCCGGUGGUGUAGUGGUAGAGCACGCGUCCACUGUGUGGAUGAAACACGGGUUCGAUUCCUACCUGAGGCC